UACGUAGGGUGCGAGCGUUGUCCGGAAUUAUUGGGCGUAAAGAGCUUGUAGGCGGUUUGUCGCGUCUGCUGUGAAAUUCCAGGGCUUAACCCUGGGCUUGCAGUGGGUACGGGCAGACUAGAGUGCGGUAGGGGAGACUGGAAUUCCUGGUGUAGCGGUGAAAUGCGCAGAUAUCAGGAGGAACACCGGUGGCGAAGGCGGGUCUCUGGGCCGUAACUGACGCUGAGGAGCGAAAGCGUGGGGAGCGAACAGG
rnacentral:rRNA from 1 species